CCCCCCUCCCUAAAAAAUAGCUUAAGAUGCAACAUUUAUUUCAGUGACAUUUGUCACAAAUAAUCUAAGGAUUUAAAAUGAUAGCAUGUUAACUGGAAUGUUCAUGUAUUUUUUGUGAAAAGAAAGCCUGGCAUAGAAUACCAAAUAUACAAGAUCUGUACCAUUUAAAUUCCUCAAAGAGUAUGCUAUGAAUAAAAUGUGUGGAGUGUUUGUUAAUGCCAUAGCAGCUUUACAAAUAACUAAAAGACAAUGCAUUGAAUAUGUCUUAUCUGAGUGACAGCCAACAUCUCUUAAUUUCUGCACUACAUGUAUUAUCCUAUUUUGAUAUGGUAUGAAUAACUGAAGUCCUUCUCCAGUUCUGACGAUAUAAAUUGUCCACCAAAAGCAGCAAAUUUUACUCAAAAAACAGAUUAAAUGAAGACAACAACCCUAUUAUGGUCACAUGUUUUUAAACUUAUAAAUAUUAUGCAUAUAUAACUAUAAAUGAACACCACUUUUGUUUACAAUACCUAAAUAUAUCACCAAUCU
rnacentral:lncRNA from 1 species